AUUUCUGUCUGGCCACAUUUUGGGGGCCCCCAGCCUGAUGGUUACCAAGCUAAAUUCUCAGGUUACAAAAUGAGACAAGGAUAGCUAUCUCUGGGAAAGAAAGGAUAGACAAUCCAUGGUUACCUGAAGGCAAAUUCACAAGUCACAAUUCGAAGACCUAAUUCUUACAAUUUUUUUUUUUUUUUUUUUUUUCCCUGCAGAUCUGAGUUUGGAGAGGAAGGAAGUGUGAAAUUUUACCUUCUUUCCACCAGGCACCACAGAUGGAGAUAUGGAGAGGUGACUUUGGCAAAAAUUCUUACCCUUUGCCAGCUUCUUCAGUUUUCCCAGGAUCUGUCUGCAGUCUCCGGAGCAAGUGGAGUGUCCCAGCAGGUCCCAUCCUGGUCACCAGAAACUGUAGAGGGAGACAAAUAAUUUUCCCUCCAUCCUUUGUGCUCGGCGAGCUCCACUUGGGUGAUAUAGAGAACUGAAAGCCUAGGUUUACUUUUGUGUCCUUCAGCCCAGACCAGAGCUCGCCAUGGUGUACAUCUGCUAGUAGGAGAAGCCCUUAGGUCCAGAAUGAAGAAAGAAUUAUGGUAGGUGUGAAAAAGUGAUGGAGAAGAUUUUUAUGUUUUCUCCCUUCUGAACAAUGUUUUCACCCCCUGCUCCUCACCUUCAUGUCUGGGAAAGGUGUGUAUCCCUACAUGUGGUGUUUGUAAUGCCUGCCUGAGCUUGCCCUCUUCGUGAGGUUGGGACAAAGCACAAAGGAGAGAUGGUUGACAAUACUGCCUCUCCCCCGAAACACUGCAGCCAAACCACUGAUUUUACUGUACUGUUGAAAUCCGAUCUUAAUCCAUAGGCUGCUAUAACCAAAUACCACAGACUGGCUGUCUUAUAAACUGGAGGUUUGAGCAGCAUUACACACAGCCUGUCCCAACCUCAGGCCUUUGUCAAAUGCUAACGAAGCUGAGAGCUGGAGGCUGGGAGGUCUGUGAACCAGAACGGAUUUCUGGUAGCCCCAAACAAUAAGAGAAAAUUGCCUGUGGGGUCUCCAGUGAAAAUUCUAGGGAGCCCUUUUCUUAAAACAGGGGUGAGACAAAGGUACACAGAGUCUUGUUAGCCUUCACACCA
rnacentral:lncRNA from 1 species